AUGGCAGUUGUCCACAACCGGACCUCCCCUGGGUCACGCCGCCCCUGCCGCCUACACCCACUGCCGCGCCGCACGCCGCUGGAUCUCCACCCCCACCCUCCCCGCUCCACUAGAUCCCCGCACGCCGCACCACCCCCGGCCAUGGGCGCUGGCUACCCGCCUCCCCCUCCACCAGCUCCCCCGGAUCCCCGCACCACCCGGCCAUGGCGAUGGCUGCUCCCCCCGCUGGGAAUCCCCGCUCCUCCGGCCAUGAAGGGCUCCUCUAGCUCCGGUCGUGCACUCCAGCACCGACAGCCACGGUCGUACUCGUGUAAUUCAACAGCGACCCCACCAUCGGAUGGGCGGCCAUGGCAUGCCGACAUGCCGUCCCAGCGCAAGUCCUUUUCUCUGUAUCUUGACCCCGGACCAUUUUUCCUGUAUCUUCAAAUUGGCUCUCUCCCCUCUCUUUUUUGGAUUUCACGCUUCUCUUUCCUCUUCAACUGUUCGUGA
rnacentral:rRNA from 1 species